GACGAACGCUGGCGGCGUGCUUAACACAUGCAAGUCGAACGGAAAGGCCCUGCUUUUGUGCGGUGCUCGAGGGGCGAACGGGUGAGUAACACGUGAGUAACCUGCCCUUGACUUUAGGAUAACUUCAGGAAACUGGGGCUAAUACCGGAUAGGAGCUCCUGCUGCAUGGUGGGGGUUGGAAAGUUUCGGCGGUUGGGGAUGGACUCGCGCCUUAUCAGCUUGUUGGUUGGGUAGUGGCUUAGCAUGGCUUUGAAGAGUAGCCGUGCUGGUCGGGUGACAGGCCACAUCGCAACUGAGAUGAGGCCCGGCCUCCUAUGGGAGGCAGGGGUGGGGAAUAUUGUACAAUGGGCGGAGGCAUGAUGUAGUCCAGCCGCGUCGGGGAAGUGAUGUAUGGCUUUGUAAUGUGAUGCCGCUUGUGCCGAGGUGUUAGUGACGGUAAUGGGUGAAUAAGCACCGGCUAACUACGUG
rnacentral:rRNA from 1 species